CAAGAAUGAAGAGAGAAAUUUUAAGGGGCAGAGUCAGGGGUCUUACAGUUGGCAGAGACUUGGAAAAGCUGAAGAGUCCAAGAGUUUUCCAACGAGGAUCCGAGGCCAGAUGCACCCAAGGUCACCCAGCUGGGCCUGAAUUGCCAUGGACGGGGAGCACCAGGAGAGACCCAGGGCACCACCAAUGCCCUUCUUCCAGUGCCCCAGGGCAGUUCCCAGGAAAUGUCGUUGCUGCUUACAAGAAUCUGAAGAUUUUUAUAGCUCAUGAUCAAUAAUGCCAAAGAAUCUUCCAGAAAGGAUGCAGGGGCGUUUCCUCACCCUCCCCAUAUAUCUCCUGCAUCACUAUUACUAUGUUUUAAAAUCUUUCCUUAUUGAAUAUUUAAAAAUGACAUCUUCCUGUUUUAAUUUGCACAUCUUUGAUGAUGACUGAGGUAGAUACUUUUUCCUCAGUUUACUUCUUAUUGGCGUUUUCUCCUUUGUGAAUGUUCUGUUUUUACACAAAAGGACUUUUUGAACAGGGUGAGUCAACUGUUCUUUUGCUGUAUGGCUCCAACAUACUGGGAUAUCAGCUCACUGGGGCUGACCCCAGGGCCACACCAGGCAGUCAGACCAUUUUGAAGAAACAAUAUCUGGUCUUGUGAUUAACAAAGGAUCCAGCAAUUUGCUUAGAAAUGAAUGAUUUACAAAUGGAU